GGAAACAAAAAUGAAAAGACACACAAAUCCUCUCUUCUUCCUUCUCGCUGCUUCCUGCUAUGCUCUCGACUCGGACUCAUAAAUCAGUUGGAGGGAAUCCGAGACCGUGUUGUCAGUUUGCUCACCUUCCAACCUCCCUUCCACUCUCACGCUUAUUUGCCGUUCGAUCCUUUCUGCCAUUCUCGGCUCUGAAGGGAACUUCUCGCUCUCGCCUGCCUUCGUCCCACUACCCCACCAAUUAACUUUACAGGUAUUCAACUUCAUCUUAUUGUGCAGAUCAAAAUUUGUGAUGUUUCAGUGUUGAUUUUACCGAUGAACCUUUCGAUGCUUUUGAUACAGUGGAAUUAGCAUUAGACUCUGAUAGGGAAUCAGAUCACCUGUAAGUUCAGAUGCGUUCAUACUUGAGUUCGAUAAUUUUUUUCUCUCAAAAAAAAAAAAAGCUUCUGAGUUGGUAAUAGGUAUUCAACUUUCAUAAAUCACUACUGCAAGUUUAUAUAAACAACAUUCCUUGGCCUUCUCACAAGUCAUAAACAGUGCAGUGGAGAACUAUUAGAUGAAGUUUUCCUGCACUCCUGCACAGGAGCGCGCGCACACAAUUGUUAAUCAAGAUCUAAUAAUAUAUUUUUUAAUUGCAUGCUAUUUUGUUAAUUGCAAACUUGUAGUGCCUUUUGGAUCGACAUUUUAAUCCCCUAGUGACUGACGAUUUUAUAUUUAGUUUUUAAGAAAAUUAAUUUGUUGUUAUGGUUAAUUACUAGUUUUGUCGGCUGUUCAUGUCUAUUCAAUUGGAAUUGAUGAGAUGGUUAUUCAUGGAUAAAACUUUCUGAAAUGGCGAAUUCUAUAUACCAGUUCGUGUUUGUUACGCACUUCUCCGUAUUGCCUUGUUUUCUCUUGUUUUGAGCUCCAGCAUAAUGAUUAAAUCAGUUUUCAAGUACUUUGUUGUCACUUCCACGAAUAUUACCUGCUGCAGCAGCUUUUUCCAUCGCGUCUCUAGAUAAAGAAGAUCCUGGCCUUGGUUGAUUUGAGCUCAGAUUGUGAACUUGGAUUGGCUCUGUCUUAGAAGAAAGCUUUAAUUAUCAGCAAGUCAGAUCUUGUUGAUAAGAAGACUUUUAAAUUUGCUAGAAAGGGGAAAGAAACUACAAUAAUGGCACAAAACCUAGAUCGUUUGAAAGAUGUGGUGCCUGACAUCCUUUCAAGGUUGCCAGUGAAAUCUUUAAGGCGAUUGGCAUGCGUUAAUAAAUCUUGGUACCGCCUUAUCAAAAGCCCUGAUUUUAUUUCCAAACACCUUCAUACCUUCAACAACCACAUGAAGUUGACAGAUCCUAUUAAUCUUCUUGUCAAGCGAACUAGGCGCGCCACUUUUGGUCCUUCUGGCGUUGACCGAAAAGCUUUUGUUUCUCUUCUGUCUUUUAACCGAGCGAACAGCAGUACCAUUCUCAAUUUGCUGGAUUUAAUCUAUAACCAUGAUGAAGUUAACCAUAUUGAAAUUUUAGGUCCUUGCAAUGGCUUAUAUUGUCUCUAUAGCAUUCCUAUUAUGAUUGUCAACCCGUCAAUGAGAGAAUUCAGAAUUCUUCCAGAUAGUCCAGCCCCACCUGACACUUACUCCUUGCAACGUCAUAAUGGGUUUGGAUUUGAUCCCAAAACCAAUGAUUACAAGGUGGUUGUGAUCAUGGACACAUGGCUUAACGAAACAGAUGAACAAUUGCCCUGGCGCAUAGAGAUAUACUCUCUGAAUUCUCAUUGUUGGAGGAAUGUUGAUUGCCUUCUACCUCCUGUUUCUAUCUGGAAUUGUUCUUGGAUUGAUGCUUUUGUUCACGGAGCAUUUCACUGGUGGGCUUAUGAUGCUGCUGGUGAUUUAGUUCUUGCAUUUGACAUGGUGAAUGAAACAUUCCAAACAUUCAGGGUGCCAAAUGCACGUCCUUCUAGCCGGGAGUAUGUUGGAACUGUUGCUAAGUUUAGGGAUUCUCUGGCCGUGAUUGUAUAUCCUAGAAGGGGAACAGAGAAGUGCUUUGAUUUGUGGGUGAUGGAGGAUUAUGGCAAUGAAGGGUCUUGGACUAAGCACUCCAUUAUUGGACCCAUUGUAGGAGCUGGACGGCCACUGGGAUUCUUGGAAGAAAAGAACCUAUUUCUUUUGGAAGAUAACAAUGGUAGGAUGGUGUUCUAUGAUCUCCAAACUGAAGAAAUCAUGCAUACUGGAUUUCAUGGUGAGGAAGAUUCUUUACAGGCUGUUGUGUACAUGGAGAGCCUAAUAUCGGUGCGAGGAGAUAAUGAAAACCCGCAAGCAGGAGCGUCUUUCUUUGGUAUGAUUCCCGACCCUCUCUUUGAGGGCAAUUCAGGAUGAGAGUAAUGUUUUCCUCCAUGUUGUUUGUUGCUUUGUGCUCUUUCUAGUAAGCAUUAAGUUAUGUACUAUGUAAUGCAAGUGAAAGAGUGAUACUUCUGACUUCUUGAUAUAACUAGCCCCCCAUAUGCCUGUAUUUAAGGAAGAUUUUCAUAGAAGGACUUAAAUCCAUCGAUUUUUCAGGGGCUUAUGUAUUUUUAAUUGCAUAUGAAGCUUGUUAUAUAUACAUUUAAUUAUUGUAUGCCCUCACAAAAAGUGAAAAUGGGUGUCUGUGAACAAAAUAAAGUGAUAGGUGACAGAAAUAAGUUAAUUAUAAA